rnacentral:pre_miRNA from 1 species
UAUAUACUCCCUCUGUCCGGAAAUACUUGUCAUCAAAAUGGAUAAAAGGGAUGUAUCUAGAUGUAUUUUAGUUUUAGAUAUAUCCCUUUUUGUCCAUUUUGAUGACAAGUAUUUUCGGACAAAGGGAGUAUAAU